AUAUCAGAAGCUCUGAUGGAGCAUUCUUCGUCGCCGCCGCCGCCUCCUCCUCCAAUUACGCUGAGAUAGAGGCACUUUUGCUGCCGCUUCCACCCCUCCAUGCCCCACUCCCUGCCUUUUGCACAACUCAAGUUGAAAUUUUGGGGUUCCAAUUAGUUUCUAUUAGUCUUUUCCUUCCCCUCUUUGUGUUGACUUGUGCCUCCACCUCCGCUG
rnacentral:lncRNA from 1 species